ACCUGGGUUAGUGAAGAACUUCCAAAUGUCUCCUUGGAAAGAUACACUCCUCAACCUGCUUAGAAGUAUGGAAAAGAAGUAUCUCUUCCAGUCCAGUGAAAGUACGCUCUAGUCUCCACUCCCGGCUGGGGGGCAAUUCUGGGCAGCGCUAUCCAUGGUCUUGUUCACUUCUCCUUCCCAUAUGGCUACCAGGAUUGGCAGCUGACGAGACAUCCACAACUAUCCAGAGGCUUUAGAAAGAUCCUCUUCUGGAACACAGGCAGAGGGCUUUGGAGAGGCAUCCGCACCAGCAGAUGGCAAUGCAGGAAGAAUGGCAAAAAGCACCUAAAGGCUGAGGUCCAACCAAGGAAAACUAUGAAAAACUGAUGCAUAUUCUUGUAAUUUUUCUCUCUCCACAAGGUAUUUUUUUUAAAAAUCAAACAGAAAAGGCUAAUUAAAAAAUGCACAGAU